rnacentral:rRNA from 1 species
UAUCAACGCUGGCGGCGUGCCUCAGACAUGCAAGUCGAACGAUUAAAGCUCCCUUCGGGGAGUGCAUAGAGUGGCGCACGGGUGAGUAACACGUAAGUAAUCUACCUUUGAGUGGGGAAUAACGUUCGGAAACGGACGCUAAUACCGCAUAAUGCAGCGGCAUCGCAAGAUGACAGUUGUUAAAGGAGCAAUCCGCUUAAAGAGGAGCUUGCGGCAGAUAGCUUGUUGGUAAGGUAACGGCUUACCAAGGCUACGAUCUGUAUCCGGUCUAAGAGGACGGUCGGACACACUGACACUGAAUAACGGGUCAGACUCCUACGGGAGGCAGCAGUCGGGAAUUUUGGGCAAUGGGCGAAAGCCUGACCCAGCAACGCCGCGUGAAGGAUGAAGUAUUUCGGU